rfam:Gossypium arboreum cultivar AKA8401 contig_35685_1, whole genome shotgun sequence.
AUUCCAUGUUGAGGGCACUUUCAUUAUAAUUCUUUGUAGCUUUCCCAUGCCUUAGACAAGGACUCAUCAUCCAUUUGUUGGAAAGCAGUGACCUAGUUCCUCAACUU